GCAGCUCGGUAGUAGAGCACCUGCUUUGCAUGCAGGUACCCAGGUUCGAUGGCUGGCAUCUCCA